UUCCGGUUGAUCCUGCCGGAGGUCAUUGCUAGUGGAGUCCGAUUUAGCCAUGCUAGUUGUACGAACUUAGAUUCGUAGCAGAUAGCUCAGUAACACGUGGCCAAACUACCCUACAGAGCACGAUACCCUCGGGAAACUGAGGCUAAUAGUGCAUACGGCUCUCCUGCUGGAACUGCAGAGAGCUCGAAAUGUUCCGACGCUGUAGGAUGUGGCUGCGGCCGAUUAGGUAGACGGUGGGGUAACGGCCCACCGUGCCAGUAAUCGGUACGGGUUGUGAGAGCAAGAGCCCGGAGACGGUAUCUGAGACAAGAUACCGGGCCCUACGGGGCGCAGCAGGCGCGAAACCUUUACACUGCACGCCAGUGCGAUAAGGGGACUCCAACUGCGAGGGCAUAUAGUCCUCGCUUUUCACUACCGUAAGGUGGUAGUGGAAUAAGUGCUGGGCAAGACCGGUGCCAGCCGCCGCGGUAAUACCGGCAGCACGAGUGAUGACCGCUAUUAUUGGGCCUAAAGCGUCCGUAGCUGGCCACGCAAGUUCGUCGGGAAAUCUCCCCGCCUAACGGGGAGGCGUCCGGUGAAAACUGUGUGGCUUGGGACCGGAAGAUCCAGAGGGUACGUCCGGGGUAGGAGUGAAAUCCUGUAAUCCUGGACGGACCACCGGUGGCGAAAGUGCUCUGGAAAGACGGAUCCGACGGUGAGGGACGAAAGCUCGGGUCACGAACCGGAUUAGAUACCCGGGUAGUCCGAGCUGUAAACGAUGUCUGCUAGGUGUGCCACAGGCUACGAGCCUGUGGUGUGCCGUAGGGAAGCCGAGAAGCAGACCGCCUGGGAAGUACGUCCGCAAGGAUGAAACUUAAAGGAAUUGGCGGGGGAGCACUACAACCGGAGGAGCCUGCGGUUUAAUUGGAUUCAACGCCGGG
rnacentral:rRNA from 1 species